GCAAAUAAUCUGCCAGAGAAAUUAUGGGAUGCCUGCCUUCUGAAAAUGGAGGAAAACUGCAAAAGAGUGGCUCAUUGGUGCUCACUCCUAGGGCUCUGAGCAUCCCAAGAAGCCAACUUGGUCCCAUCGUACAUCCCCUCAGAAGUAGGCAUUCUCCUCUCCACCUACAGCUGUGGCCCAGAUGUGGAGCCUGCAUGUUAUGCCACGCCGUCAACACUGAGUUCUGUCUGCGUCUCCCUGUCACAGAUCUGAUCAGCACCUGACACCUAUCCAUUCUCCAUUUCCCACCUCCCCAAAGCUGCUGGAAAAACUCUGAAAGGUGGGAGCAUGCACCAGUGAAACCUGAGUUCUUUCUGUUCACAUGAGGUAAUCUUCCCACUGGCUGGAAGACACUUCAUUUAUACAAACAGCGAUUACUGUAAAAGUGUAUUCAUGUUGUUCAUCACAUGAAUAGGACAUGGGAGAAAAACUAUAUAAUUAUCCUGAGAAAAUGCCCCCUAAUGCAAAUUCUCUGUGGUUAGGAAUAAAAGGAGACUUUGUCAACAUGAUAAAUGAUA
rnacentral:lncRNA from 10 species